CGUUCCUACGGGAGGCAGCAGUGAGGAAUAUUGGUCAAUGGCCGAGAGGCUGAACCAGCCAAGUCGCGUGAGGGAUGACGGCCCUACGGGUUGUAAACCUCUUUUGUCGGGGAGCAAGACCCGCCUCGUGCAGGCGGAGCGAGAGUACCCGGAGAAAAAGCAUCGGCUAACUCCGUGCCAGCAGCCGCGGUAAUACGGAGGAUGCGAGCGUUAUCCGGAUUCAUUGGGUUUAAAGGGUGCGCAGGCGGGCGUUUAAGCCGGCGGUGAAA
rnacentral:rRNA from 1 species